rnacentral:rRNA from 1 species
UACAGAGGGGGCAAGCGUUGUUCGGAAUUACUGGGCGUAAAGGGCGCGUAGGCGGCCUGUUAAGUCGAACGUGAAAUCCCCGAGCUCAACCCGGGAACUGCGUCCGAUACUGGCAGGCUUGAAUCCGGGAGAGGGAUGCGGAAUUCCAGGUGUAGCGGUGAAAUGCGUAGAUAUCUGGAGGAACACCGGUGGCGAAGGCGGCAUCCUGGACCGGCAUUGACGCUGAGGCGCGAAAGCCAGGGGAGCAAACAGG